CUAAGAACUGUGAACUGAAUUCGAUCAAGUUGUCAAUCGGGUUGUCAAUAAUUUUAAAUUAUUUUUUACAUUUGUAUAAUUUACACAAAUUAGUUAUAAUUAGAGUAUCUCAUAGCACAAAUUGUUAGCCUUAUUACUAAGAACAAUAAUACUGCCAUUGUCACGUGCUCUGCAAACAAAUUGUAGUCCACUUUUUCGCAUGCAAUUUUGUCAGAGCGGAAGGUGUGAUUUAAAACACGUCAGAAAAUCGGGUAUCACAUUAAGGAAGAUUGCGGUCGGUACAAUAGGGACAAUAGGUCCCACAGCGGGCGAGGUGGUGGUGGUGGUUGCUUCCUAAUUAUACUUAUACGGGCACAAGUACUAUACAUAUAUAUGUAUAUAUGUAUGUAGCUAGGUAAUGGGCCUGCACCGGUCUGGCGCGCCUGUUUUGGGGAUGGGAACAUAAGUAAUUGUAUACUGCCUAAGAGGGGGUUGGUUAACAUAAUUUUGCACAGUUUUCAAAGAAAACAUUCUGCAUAAUGCGCUUAGAAAUAUGAAUAAAGACGAGAUUAACCUCAAUGACCGCGCCAGUUGCUGAAUGCAGAGAGAGCAUUUUGGAGAUGCACAAUCCAGGGUCAAUAUGCGCUGUGGAUUCCAGCUGCAUGAUGAGCUGCAUACCCGCGCCGAAUGCAACAUCAGCAGCGACUCAAUGUUGUCGACUGCAUUAAAGUGGAAAAUCCUGUCUGACAACAUUAAAACUAAAAAAAAAUCUCAAUAAAACAUAUAAGCGUGAAGGAAAAAACAAAAUGAGAGCAAAGUAAAUCAACCCAGACGAGAGUUGUGGCUUGAGCAGGAUGAAACAAGCCAUGAAAAGAGAAUGUGGCUAGGCAACCAGAAAUGCAAUAAAAGCAAAAUAUGAAACUACUAGCUGUAAUAACUAUUAUUCAGACGAUAAGAAUUCGCUUUCGCUGAUCGCAAGUUCCCAGAAAUAUUUUCAAUUAACACCGUCCAUGUAGGGAUACUUUUUCAAUGACCCUAUAAAGCGGCACGCUUUGCGUUCUGUUUAAUAAGCGUAAAUUAUUUAAAAUCAUUAAUCAAGGCGCCCACGUUUAAAAUAUUUUGCGAAUCAACCUAAAUAUAUACAUACAUAUGUAUGCAAGCAAAUGUAUAUACGAACUCAUUUGUUUGCUGUGUUUUUCAACACGUGCAAUUUACGUGAAAUUCCCAAAUUUAUCAAUCGUUA